rnacentral:rRNA from 1 species
UGGGGAAUAUUGGACAAUGGGCGAAAGCCUGAUCCAGCCAUGCCGCGUGUGUGAAGAAGGUCUUCGGAUUGUAAAGCACUUUAAGGUGGGAGGAAGGGCAGUAAGCGAAUACCUUGCUGUUUGGACGUUACCGACAGAAUAAGCACCGGCUAACUCUGUGCCAGCAGCCGCGGUAAUACAGAGGGUGCAAGCGUUAAUCGGAAUGACUGGGCGUAAAGCGCGCGUAGGUGGUUCGUUAAGUUGAAUGUGAAAGCCCCGGGCUCAACCUGGGAACUGCAUCCAAAACUGGCGAGCUAGAGUAGGGCAGAGGGUGGUGGAAUUUCCUGUGUAGCGGUGAAAUGCGUAGAUAUAGGAAGGAACACCAGUGGCGAAGGCGACCACCUGGGCUCAUACUGACACUGAGGUGCGAAAGCGUGGGGAGCAAACAGG